CCAUAGCUCAGUUGGUUAGAGCAUCCGACUCAUAAUCGGCAGCUCCCCGGUUCAAGUCA
rnacentral:tRNA from 1 species